UGGGGAAUAUUGGACAAUGGGCGAAAGCCUGAUCCAGCCAUGCCGCGUGAGUGAUGAAGGCCCUAGGGUUGUAAAGCUCUUUUGUGCGGGAAGAUAAUGACGGUACCGCAAGAAUAAGCCCCGGCUAACUUCGUGCCAGCAGCCGCGGUAAUACGAAGGGGGCUAGCGUUGCUCGGAAUCACUGGGCGUAAAGGGUGCGUAGGCGGGUUUCUAAGUCAGAGGUGAAAGCCUGGAGCUCAACUCCAGAACUGCCUUUGAUACUGGAAGUCUUGAGUUCGGGAGAGGUAAGUGGAACUGCGAGUGUAGAGGUGAAAUUCGUAGAUAUUCGCAAGAACACCAGUGGCGAAGGCGGCUCACUGGCCCGAUACUGACGCUGAGGCACGAAAGCGUGGGGAGCAAACA
rnacentral:rRNA from 1 species